GAUGAACGCUGGCGGCGUGCCUAAUACAUGCAAGUCGAGCGAACGGACGAGAAGCUUGCUCCUCUGAUGUUAGCGGCGGACGGGUGAGUAACACGUGGAUAACCUACCUAUAAGACUGGGAUAACUUCGGGAAACCGGAGCUAAUACCGGAUAAUAUUUUGAACCGCAUGGUUCAAAAGUGAAAGACGGUCUUGCUGUCACUUAUAGAUGGAUCCGCGCUGCAUUAGCUAGUUGGUAAGGUAACGGCUUACCAAGGCAACGAUGCAUAGCCGACCUGAGAGGGUGAUCGGCCACACUGGAACUGAGACACGGUCCAGACUCCUACGGGAGGCAGCAGUAGGGAAUCUUCCGCAAUGGGCGAAAGCCUGACGGAGCAACGCCGCGUGAGUGAUGAAGGUCUUCGGAUCGUAAAACUCUGUUAUUAGGGAAGAACAUAUGUGUAAGUAACUGUGCACAUCUUGACGGUACCUAAUCAGAAAGCCACGGCUAACUGCGUG
rnacentral:rRNA from 1 species